GACACCUAGAAGGAAAAGCUCGCGCUUAAGAUCAUCUCUCAGACCUUGGCUAAACCUACUCAAAGUCGUGCUCUCAUCCUCAAUUAAAUGACAUUUGGUUCAAAAUUCCUCAAAUUGCGCGAUAUACUCAGUCACUAAUUGAUUUCCUUGUUUAAGGGCAUUCCAUUGAGUAAGAAUUUCAAAAUUAUCUCGUUCUCGCUCAUGAAUUUGAUCCCUAUUCCUA
rnacentral:lncRNA from 1 species